AUUAUAUUCUAUAUCCAAUGCCGUCGCGGUCAACUUACCGGCCCUAUUGUAUCCAACAAAAUUGUUUGGCGAUGAACCAAUUUCCACCAUUUUGAUGCUUCUUCUACCUUGUUUCGAGAUAACCAAGAAUAUGCCUAUUGAACUGAACACCUGCUGAAACCCAUCGUCCUUGACCACUCUGUUUGUUUGGCAUUACUAUCGAGUUGAACAUCAUAGUCACGGAUACAAAUUGUCAUCAUCAGGAAGGAUUUCUUCUGAUUUGGAAUAGAGCACUUCGGGAACCUGAUCCUGGAGAUCAUGAGGAAUUCUAUGAUUCUGGUUAGUGUUGCUGUCAUAAACAUAUGUAUUCAUUGCCAAUGAAAACAAUUUUUUUUUUUCUUUUUUUUUUUUUUGCUGUCAUACCCUAUUAUGCAUUAUGGAAGAAACUGUUGUGAUGUGAUUAAUGAGUACUUUUCUUUCCCCUGGAGCACACAUAACUUGGUUUGAAAAUACCAUCCAUAAAAAAGAUGAAAAAAAUCAUCAAGCACAAAAAAGAAAUUCUCUCCCUUUGAGAGAAACCCUACCUCAGCGGCGGCGACCAAAGUGCAAACUUCUCGUCCGGCAGCGGCCUUGGCCUCGCUGAUGUCACGUGGUUCUGCUGCCGGACGGGGACUGAAUGAGCUAUUCCGGUUGUCCUUUGAUUGGGUUGCUCAAGUUUUCUGCAGGUGAUGGUGGUUUUGAGUUUUCAGGCAUGAGAUCUAUGGGAGGUGGCCGAUCUCGUGUUGUUAGAGGCUGGGAUUGAUGGUGCGAUUCGAAUUCGUUUGGCGGCGUCGAUCGGGGAAGGUGAAAUCGAGAUGGAUUUUGGGAUGCAGCUUAUGGCGGUGCUGGUUUCGUUGUGUUUCUUGUGGGGGUGUGUUUCGCCGGGUUUUUCAGGCAUGGCUAACUGGGGCGAUCUCGGGGCGGUGGGAAUAUGACAGAGCAGGCACUGGGGCAGGGUUGCAGCAGUGGUUUCGUCAUACUUCUUGUGGCGGCGUGUGUUGUCGGGUUUUUCUGGCAUGGUGAACUGGGGCGGACUCGAGGCGGCGGGAACAGGACGGAGCAGGCAAGGGGACGGGGCUGCGCUGGUGGUUGGGUGGUCUGGCGGUGGUGGCUGGAUCUCGGGCCAUGACAUGCCUGCUGGGCCUUGAGUGAGCCUUCCUCUUGGGCUACUUGGAUUGCAGAAUUUUGGGCUAAGAUUUUUGCCCUUGGCCCAUCUUUUAAGUUUUUAGUUAGUCUAAUUACAAUAAUUCCUUGUAUUAGGAAGCUAGGCAUUUUAUGCUCUAUGUCUCUCUAGCGUCUCUGGAGUAGUACCGAAAGAGGAUAUCCGCUA